rnacentral:snRNA from 1 species
AUGCUCACUUUGGCAGCACAUAUACAAAAAUUAGAAUGAUACAGAGAAAAUUACCAUGAUCCAUGUGCAAGGAAAAUAUACAAAUUUGUGAAGUGUUCCAUGUUCUU